rnacentral:rRNA from 1 species
GACGAACGCUGGCGGCGUGCCUAACACAUGCAAGUCGAGCGAAUGAAGUUCCUUCGGGAAUGGAUUUAGCGGCGGACGGGUGAGUAACACGUGGGCAACCUGCCUCAUAGAGGGGAAUAGCCUCCCGAAAGGGAGAUUAAUACCGCAUAAGAUUGUAGUACCGCAUGAUACAGCAAUUAAAGGAGCAAUCCGCUAUGAGAUGGGCCCGCGGCGCAUUAGCUAGUUGGUGAGGUAAUGGCUCACCAAGGCGACGAUGCGUGGCCGACCUGAGAGGGUGAUCGGCCACAUUGGGACUGAGACACGGCCCAGACUCCUACGGGAGGCAGCAGUGGGGAAUAUUGCACAAUGGGGGAAACCCUGAUGCAGCAACGCCGCGUGAGUGAUGACGGCCUUCGGGUUGUAAAGCUCUGUCUUCAGGGACGAUAAUGACGGUACCUGAGGAGGAAGCCACGGCUAACUACGUG